rnacentral:rRNA from 1 species
AUACGUAGGGAGCGAGCGUUAUCCGGAUUCAUUGGGCGUAAAGAGCGCGUAGGCGGCCUCUCAAGCGGGAUCUCUAAUCCGAGGGCUCAACCCCCGGCCGGAUCCCGAACUGGGAGGCUCGAGUUCGGUAGAGGCAGGCGGAAUUCCCGGUGUAGCGGUGGAAUGCGCAGAUAUCGGGAAGAACACCGAUGGCGAAGGCAGCCUGCUGGGCCGCAACUGACGCUGAGGCGCGAAAGCUAGGGGAGCGAACAGGAUUAGAUACCCUGGUAGUCCUAGCCGUAAACGAUGGAUACUAGGUGUGGAGGGCUCCGCCCUCCGUGCCGCAGCCAACGCAUUAAGUAUCCCGCCUGGGGAGUACGGCCGCAAGGCUAAA